AACCCCGGGAAACCGGGGCUAAUACCGGAUAAUACUUUUCAUCACCUGAUGGAAAGUUGAAAGGUGGAAUCUUGCUACCACUUACAGAUGGGCCCGCGGCGCAUUAGCUAGUUGGUGAGGUAACGGCUCACCAAGGCAACGAUGCGUAGCCGACCUGAGAGGGUGAUCGGCCACACUGGGACUGAGACACGGCCCAGACUCCUACGGGAGGCAGCAGUAGGGAAUCUUCCGCAAUGGACGAAAGUCUGACGGAGCAACGCCGCGUGAGUGAUGAAGGUUUUCGGAUCGUAAAGCUCUGUUGAAAGGGAAGAACAAGUGCCGUUCGAAUAGGGUGGCACCUUGACGGUACCUAACCAGAAAGCCCCGGCUAACUACGUGCCAGCAGCCGCGGUAAUACGUAGGGGGCAAGCGUUGUCCGGAAUUAUUGGGCGUAAAGCGCGCGCAGGCGGUCCUUUAAGUCUGAUGUGAAAGCCCACGGCUUAACCGUGGAGGGUCAUUGGAAACUGGAGGACUUGAGUACAGAAGAGGAGAGUGGAAUU
rnacentral:rRNA from 1 species